AGUGAACGCUGGCGGUAGGCCUAACACAUGCAAGUCGAACGGCAGCACGGUAAGAGCUUGCUCUUACGGGUGGCGAGUGGCGGACGGGUGAGGAAUACAUCGGAAUCUACUUUUUCGUGGGGGAUAACGUAGGGAAACUUACGCUAAUACCGCAUACGACCUACGGGUGAAAGCAGGGGAUCUUCGGACCUUGCGCGAUUGAAUGAGCCGAUGUCGGAUUAGCUAGUUGGCGGGGUAAAGGCCCUCCAAGGCGACGAUCCGUAGCUGGUCUGAGAGGAUGAUCAGCCACACUGGAACUGAGACACGGUCCAGACUCCUACGGGAGGCAGCAGUGGGGAAUAUUGGACAAUGGGCGCAAGCCUGAUCCAGCCAUACCGCGUGGGUGAAGAAGGCCUUCGGGCUGUAAAGCCCUUUUGUUGGGAAAGAAAAGCAGCAGGUUAAUACCCCGCUGUUCUGACGGUACCCAAAGAAUAAGCACCGGCUAACUUCGUG
rnacentral:rRNA from 1 species